ensembl:lncRNA
GGGACCGGCUGGUGGAGCAAGGAGGGGUGCUCUAUCGCCGUGUCACCAUCCCUAGAGGAGAUUAAGUGCUCCAGUUAGUACUCCCUACAUCGCUCAAGACACAGAUCCUGGCCAUCGAUUUCACCAUCCUGGAGCCUUCUAAGAGUGGGGCAGAGAACAUCCUGGUCAUGACCGAUGUCUUUUCGAAGUAUACACAAGCCAUCCCAACCCAUGACCAGCGGGCAGGUUCGCUGGUCAUGGGUUGGUUCUGCAGGUUCGGUGUGCCUGGUCGCCUCCACUCUGACCAGGGCAGGAACUUUGAAAGCAACCUCAUCCAGCAGCUCUGCCAGAUGCACGGCAUUGAGAAGAGCUGCACCACACCCUGGAAAUGUACCAUCCAGGUGGAAAUGGCCAAUGUGAGAGGUUCAACCGCACCUUACAAAACCUUCUCUGCACUCUGCCCAUCACCAAAAAGAGAGACUGGUCCAGCUACCUGCCCCAAGUGUCCUUUGCAUACAAUACAACAGCACAGCCGACUGGUGAGUCUCCGUUUUUCCUGAUGUUUGGCCAAGACCCACAAUUACCUGUUGAUUUUCUGUUGGGCAGAGUACAGGAACCUGUGCCUGGCCACCCCCAUGAUUGGAUCGUGGAACACCAGACACGGCUACGUCAUGCUUUUGAGAGUACAACCAGGCAUCUGGAAGCUGCAGCUGCCCGGCGGAAGGAACACUAUGACAGGCAUGUUCGUGAUGUCCCACUGCAAGAAGGUCAGCUGGUCUUCCUCAAAGACACCAGUGUAAGGGGCCGUCACAAAAUUCAAGACAUCUGGAGCUCAACAGUGUAUAAAGUACUGAAGGCCCCUGGCAUGGGAGGGUCUGUGUAUACUGUGGCUCUGGUGCAUAACCCCCAGCAGAUAAAUCAUGUUCAUCGUUCUCUCAUAAUAGGCAAAGUGGAUUGUGCUGCUAAUUGUCCCCCCCAGUGAAUCCCCUGAACAGAUGGGAUCCAUCUCAGCAGAUGAGUCAUCGUUUGAUAGCGACUGGGCUGUAGUGACCUCUGAACCCAUGGCUGUCCCAAGAAACCACCUACCAGCGCGGCCUGUCAUCAGCACCCUCUCACCAAACCAAAGUCAUGCUGUUGCUACAUCUCAGCCAAGCGAAGGCCCAGCGUAUUCAACUGAAAUUCCAAGCACCAGUGAGGCCUCCCUGAGAAGAACUACCCGUCCAACCGCAGGCAGACACCCAAACCUUCACCAUCUUCCUCAGGUUGCUGGGAGUAGUGCUAUUGGGGCUGCUAACUCUCUGAUGCCUGUGCUUAGUGGCUGUGUGGUGUUUAGGCCAUGGCAGUAAAUAUAAAUCGUCGGGCCGACGAUUAAAAAACCCGGGGGGUAGAUUGUGGUGAACCUCAGUAGGGGUUGUGAAUGCAACCAUCUUGGCUCCUCCCCCUGCACCCAGGUGCAGAUAAAAGGGCCAAGAUGGCUGAACUCAGCCUCUGUUGGUUGCCUCCUAGGGUGGUGAGCAGGGUCCCUGCUUUCUAACAGUUUUGAGUUCCCAUUUGAACUUUUAUUAAUUAGUGUCUCUUGUUUUUAGAAUCCCCUGCUGCUGUUUUGUACGGUUUUAGUUGUUCUGUUUAACUGGGCUGUUUUUGUUUUUUUACGGUUUUAGUUGUUCUGUUUAGCUGUGCUGUUUUGUUUUGGUUCCGUUUGCUAUUUUGUUUUGGUUGCUUUGGUUCAGUUUGCUUUUGUGUUAUUUCCCCUUUUC